AAUAAAUUAACAAUAUUUACAUUUAAUAUAAUUAUAAAAAUAUCAAAAAUCAUAAAAUUAUAACUUUCUAAAUAUAAAUUUUAUAUUUACAUAUAUUUACAUUUUAUAAAUUAACAAUAUUUACAUGUAUUUAGAAAGUUGUAAUUUUAAUUUUUGAAAAAUUAUUGAAAUUGUUUUUAUUAUAAAAUUUUAUAAUAUUAAUUUAAUAUUUUCAUAAUUUCAAUUUAAAUUUUUUAUUAAAUAUUUUUACUUUUGUAUAUAUAUUGUUUUAAAAAAAAGAAAAAAAUUUUACCCUCCCGUAGCCGCACGCAACCGCA
rnacentral:lncRNA from 1 species